rnacentral:lncRNA from 1 species
CUGAGUGAAAUGUGGCACAGGUGCAGGCCUCUGGGAAGAGAGGAGUGUCUGGUCGGCAGCGCGCUGCCCUCAAGGGGCCUCCUUGAAGGCGAUACAACUAAUGACGAUACCAAUUAACAACGAUGACAAUACUGACGAUGACAAUAACAGUAACAAAUCCAAACAAGAGGCUUGCAUCUAUCAAAUAGCAGCGACCACCACGAAUCGCGUCCCCACGGGGCCGCCACAAAGGAGACUGCACUGGCCGGGCCACUACGGCUCUCGCAGCGCCCCUGGAGGCCCCCUUCCUGCCUUGCCCAGAGGGGCGGGGCGAAGGCUGGGGCGGGGCCGGACCGAGGGCGGGGCUCCAGGCCGGCAGCAGAGGGUGGGGCCGAGGAGGAGGAGAAGGAGGUGAAGGAGGUGAAAGAGGUGGGGGCCGGCGGGUGGCUGGGCGGGGCGCUUUCGGGCCUCCCCUUUUCACGCGGAGCAUUCGUAGCCUUAGAGUCCGCGCCGCGGGGAGCUCUGGAGGUGAGCGCUGCCCGCGAGCCGAAGCAGCCGCCCGAGGAGGAGUUGUGGGCACCAAGGUGGAAGGAACAAGACUGCUUUGGGGAACCCAGAAGCCAGAAGGCAGGAACAUGGAGAGUGAUGACACAAAAUGAAGCUAGGAAGGUAGGCAGAGGCUAUCUACUGGCAGUGGUUUUCAGUCCAAUCUGCUUGUCAGAACCAACAGAAGAAUUUAAAACAAGACCCAUGCCUGGGCCCUCCUCCACGUCUAUUAAAUCACAGCAGUUUUGGUGGGUUCGCCUCCCUCCCCCAGCCACCAUUUUUCCUGUCUUCCAAAGGGAUAACCCACUGAUACUAGUUUUGUAUAUCAUUGUAGACAAUUUUUGUGGGCAUUCAAGGAAAUACAUAUCUUUUCUCUUGUUGUUUUACACAAAUGGUAGCAUACUGUACACUCUUAACAAUGUAUUUGGAAUAUUUCCAUUUCAAUAUAUAGUUUCCUUAUUUUUUAAAAAAAUAACUGCAGUAUUUCACGAUAUGGAUAUAUCACCGAUUAUUUAA